rnacentral:rRNA from 1 species
GAUGAACGCUGGCGGCGUGACUAAUACAUGCAAGUCGAGCGAACGGACGAGAAGCUUGCUUCUCUGAUGUUAGCGGCGGACGGGUGAGUAACACGUGGAUAACCUAUCUAUAAGACUGGGAUAACUUCGGGAAACCGGAGCUAAUACCGGAUAAUAUUUUGAACCGCAUGGUUCAAAAGUGAAAGACGGUCUUGCUGUCACUUAUAGAUGGAUCCGCGCUGCAUUAGCUAGUUGGUAAGGUAACGGCUUACCAAGGCAACGAUGCAUAGCCGACCUGAGAGGGUGAUCGGCCACACUGGAACUGAGACACGGUCCAGACUCCUACGGGAGGCAGCAGUAGGGAAUCUUCCGCAAUGGGCGAAAGCCUGACGGAGCAACGCCGCGUGAGUGAUGAAGGUCUUCGGAUCGUAAAACUCUGUUAUUAGGGAAGAACAUAUGUGUAAGUAACUGUGCACAUCUUGACGGUACCUAAUCAGAAAGCCACGGCUAACUACGUG